UACGGAGGGUGCGAGCGUUGUCCGGAAUCACUGGGCGUAAAGGGCGCGUAGGUGGCGCGGGAAGUCAACGGUGAAAGUUCGGGGCUCAACCCUGAAUCGGCCGUCGAUACUCCCGGGCUCGAGCACUGUAGAGGCAGAUGGAAUUCCGGGUGUAGCGGUGGAAUGCGUAGAGAUCCGGAAGAACACCGGUGGCGAAGGCGGUCUGCUGGGCAGUUGCCGACACUGAGGCGCGACAGCGUGGGGAGCAAACAGG
rnacentral:rRNA from 1 species